rnacentral:rRNA from 2 species
AACGCUGGCGGCGUGCCUAAUACAUGCAAGUCGAACGAGUUUUGGUCGAUGAACGGUGCUUGCAUCGUGAUUCAACUUAAAACGAGUGGCGGACGGGUGAGUAACACGUGGGUAACCUGCCCUUAAGUGGGGGAUAACAUUUGGAAACAGAUGCUAAUACCGCAUAAAUCCAAGAACCGCAUGGUUCUUGGCUGAAAGAUGGCGUAAGCUAUCGCUUUUGGAUGGACCCGCGGCGUAUUAGCUAGUUGGUGAGGUAACGGCUCACCAAGGCGAUGAUACGUAGCCGAACUGAGAGGUUGAUCGGCCACAUUGGGACUGAGACACGGCCCAAACUCCUACGGGAGGCAGCAGUAGGGAAUCUUCCACAAUGGACGCAAGUCUGAUGGAGCAACGCCGCGUGAGUGAAGAAGGCUUUCGGGUCGUAAAACUCUGUUGUUGGAGAAGAAUGGUCGGCAGAGUAACUGUUGUCGGCGUGACGGUAUCCAACCAGAAAGCCACGGCUAACUACGUGCCAGCAGCCGCGGUAAUACGUAGGUGGCAAGCGUUAUCCGGAUUUAUUGGGCGUAAAGCGAGCGCAGGCGGUUUUUUAAGUCUGAUGUGAAAGCCCUCGGCUUAACCGAGGAAGCGCAUCGGAAACUGGGAAACUUGAGUGCAGAAGAGGACAGUGGAACUCCAUGUGUAGCGGUGAAAUGCGUAGAUAUAUGGAAGAACACCAGUGGCGAAGGCGGCUGUCUGGUCUGUAACUGACGCUGAGGCUCGAAAGCAUGGGUAGCGAACAGGAUUAGAUACCCUGGUAGUCCAUGCCGUAAACGAUGAAUGCUAGGUGUUGGAGGGUUUCCGCCCUUCAGUGCCGCAGCUAACGCAUUAAGCAUUCCGCCUGGGGAGUACGACCGCAAGGUUGAAACUCAAAGGAAUUGACGGGGGCCCGCACAAGCGGUGGAGCAUGUGGUUUAAUUCGAAGCAACGCGAAGAACCUUACCAGGUCUUGACAUCUUUUGAUCACCUGAGAGAUCAGGUUUCCCCUUCGGGGGCAAAAUGACAGGUGGUGCAUGGUUGUCGUCAGCUCGUGUCGUGAGAUGUUGGGUUAAGUCCCGCAACGAGCGCAACCCUUAUGACUAGUUGCCAGCAUUGAGUUGGGCACUCUAGUAAGACUGCCGGUGACAAACCGGAGGAAGGUGGGGAUGACGUCAAAUCAUCAUGCCCCUUAUGACCUGGGCUACACACGUGCUACAAUGGAUGGUACAACGAGUUGCGAGACCGCGAGGUCAAGCUAAUCUCUUAAAGCCAUUCUCAGUUCGGACUGUAGGCUGCAACUCGCCUACACGAAGUCGGAAUCGCUAGUAAUCGCGGAUCAGCACGCCGCGGUGAAUACGUUCCCGGGCCUUGUACACACCGCCCGUCACACCAUGAGAGUUUGUAACACCCGAAGCCGGUGGCGUAACCCUUUUAGGGAGCGAGCCGUCUAAGGUGGGACAAAUGAUUAGGGUGAAGUCGUAACAAGGUAGCCGUAGGAGAACCUG